GUCUCGUCUACCUUGUAAGGUUUUUAAAGUUUAUUUUUAUUUCAAAUAUUAAAACCGAAAGAAAAAAAAAAGAGAGAGAGAGAGAGAGCAAUAUGUAUUAAAUGGCGCAAAGCCCGUAAAAUACCGUAUAAAAUGGCUUUCCUUUUUCUACCAUUAAAAAAUCUGACAAGACGUUAAAAUUGUCCACAAGUUUAGGCUUGUCUUAUCUCGUUGGCUCUAUAAAAUCGUUCACCUUAUAAAUAGUCCUUAGUUUGUAAACAGUACUUGUUUACCCUAGCAGCAAUCUUUUCCUUCGUAUUCUUCCAACCAUCCGCCUAUUUUAUUUGCUGCUCGCUUCUCCCACUCCCUAAUUCAAACAUUGAUUUAUUUCACUUAUCUCUUUCCAAAUGGCAUUAUUUCUUUUCAAAAUAAAAUUCCAAACAUCUCCAACAUCACCCUCCUCUCCCCGCCACACACACACACUAACCCCGUGUUUACGCCGUUUUUGUUUACUUUAUUAAUUUUUUUUCCUUGAGUUAUUUUUUUUGGUUUUGUUUUUGAUUUUUAUCCAUGACCUUUGUAGAAACUGAAAAUUACAUCUAACUAGAUAUUUCCGCAGAUAAUUUUUAUUGUUUUGUUUUCGUUUUUUUUUUUUUAUUAAUUGUUCUGUCAGACAUUGCAUUAAUUGUUUAAUAUAUUCGGGACAUUAUAUUUAUUUACUCAUUUACCUGCAGUUGUUACCUGAUUUUUCUCUCCUCUUUUAUUUGUAGUCUUUCUUUCUUUUUGGUUUUUGUUUUGUUAUUGCCUUUUCUUUCUCUUAACAUACUUAGAUCACAAUCUAUUCAAAUAUUUGCUUUAAUUCUUCUAACCACCAGAGAGAAACAAUCUAGUUAUCCAGUCAUACUAAUGUAGCACUUCCACCGCUGCUGCUGCUAACGUUUUCAUCGUCGUCCUCCUCCUCCUCCCGUUGUUGCCGUCGUUCUCCCCCUCUCUCUAUAUAUCGCCGCCUCUCUUCCUUCCUUUCUUUCUCUCUCUCUGUGUCUCGCUGCUAUAGUUGUCUUGUUAUCAUAUCCUCAUUCUCGGGCCACAGCCCUAGCCCUGAUUAAUAUUCAUCAGCACCGACUGACUAUUGUGUAGGAAGUGCUGAAUAGGGCAUUUUGCGACGACCCAAGAAGUACAUCAGCCAUUAACAAAGCUGUAUAGCAUUGUUGCGAAGGUGCUAAGGCCUCCUCUGUCUCCUCUUAGUUCGUUCGUUCAUUCCUUCUUUUCUCCUUCCCCUCCCUUCGCUUUCUCAUUUUUCCCUCCCUCCCUUCCUCCACACUACAAUACGCAAGUACUACUCCUCACAGCAGCAACACUUUCAAUAACAGUAGUAGUAGGAGUAGUAAUCAUAUUACAAUUUCUCUGUGUGUGUGUAUGUGUUGUUUGUGAUAUACACACAUAUAUUCAUAUAUAUUUUUUUUAUCACCCUCUCUCUCUCUCUCUCUUUCUCUUAUAUAUACAUAUUUUGAUAUUUAUUUAUAAAAAAUUAUUUGAAACAACAUCAAGUAUUUAUAUAUAUUUCUAUAGACAAAACAGCCUAUAUAUAUUAUAACUCACAUAUUUUCAUAAACACACAUAUCAAUAUUUAUUAUAUGUACAUAUAACAAACUCGUGUAUAUCUAUUAUUACAUGUAUUUAUAAUCUUAACACUCCUGAAAAGGUUAAUACAACACAGCAGUGUUUGCAUGUUAUUUCCCCAAACAAGCAACAGAACGGAUUAAUAUUUAAGAUUUUUGGAAAGAAAAGAAACUUUAAAAUACUCAGCUAACAACAGACAUUUUACGGUGGGAUCUUCACAACAAAAUUUCAAUCAUGAAGAUUUCGACGUGGUAAGGACUUUUUUUUUUUCACUAUUAGUUACACAUUUGUUUAAAAUCGGUUUCCUAAUGUUUCUUUCUUAGCACGUUAUCUGAUCUGAUCAAUGAAUAUACCGGUAAAUGAUCUAACAGCAAAGGGGCAUGUGUGUGUGUAUUAUAUAUAUAUAUAUAUAUGUAUGUAUGUAUAUUUAUAUAUAUAUACGCACAUACAUGCAUUUCUUAGGUCGCAUUCGAAGUUACUACAGCUGCUGCUGUAAAAGUUUUCUUCCUUAUUUAAUGUUUUCAUCUGUAGUUGUUAAACUUUAUAACUUUUAGGCAUAUAGAUGCAAUAAAUGUAAUUUAUAAUAUGUAUUCGUCAUGUAAAUAUUAGAAUAAGCGGGAUCGUGUGAAGUUGGGAAAAUGCCUAUCAGGUUUUUGCUUUUAAACUAUUCUUCCGCUGAAAUCAUACAAAUUAUCGCUUUUAUUUCUUUCUGGUUAAAGCUAGUUUGUUCCUAUUUCCUUCUACAUUGAAAUUUAUUCAUCCACAGAAUUUUAUAUUUGUUAGUCUUAAUCGAUUUCUGAUGUUACGACUCUUCCGUCCCCUCCUUGGCCAGAAAACAUGUGCUUCUUCGCAACCGUGUUCUGCGCCUGCGUGUCAUGGAGCCUUUCUUUUCAUCAUUUCCCCUUUUUUUAUUUACUUUUCACCAAGCCUCCUUUUCCCACAAUUCUUUAUUUGUUUUCUUUUAUUGGACUCCUUCUGUAUUUUUCUUUCUCUUUUUAUUUUUUUUCUGGUUCCAUUUAAAUUCUUUUAUUUUCUCAAAUCAACAUUGUAAUUAGCUCAACAAACUUGAUGGGAUAACUAGAACUUAUACAUAUAUAUAUAUAUAUAUAUAUAUACUCACAUAUUCUAUAAACAUUUCUAUAAAUUGAGAAAUCUUAGAUGCUAAUUUUUUCCACUUUCAUUUGUUAUUGUUUUCAACGAUUACACUCGUUUUAUUUUGUGUCUGGUGUUUAAACAUUUGCAUCUGUGAUAGUUUCUCAACUAAUAUUUACGCUAUUAAUUGCUAGGUAAUUUGUAUUUAUUUCAUCCGAUCUUAUUUCCAACACGUCGCUCUUCACUAAUUUAGAUUAAUGGAUCUUAUUCGUCUUCCGCUCACUUUUAGAAUACCCCUUAUUUAUUUAUUGUUAUUUACUGUUUUCUUGUAGACAUCCUCAAUAUUUCUCUCCAACAUCGAAGCUAUUGUAUAAACUGUUUGUGCAUUUUUCUCUCUUGCAUUUCGAUUGUUUUUUCCUUAUUAAAACUAUUUUUCUUCGUACUUCUUUUUAUUUGACCUAGAAACUAGUUGUCAACCCUGAACAUUGCUGAUAAUUUUUAUCUACUGUAGCUGUCUUAUCACAUUAUUUCCCCCCUCUUGUCUAAUUUGCUUAGCCUAUGUCAGAUGUUACACAUUUCUAUGAAAUUAGCCAGCCCGUUUAACUUUUCAAGAACAUUUGUUUUUCAUGGUACUAGUUUUAAAGUAUUUAGACUGCUUCAUUUUUAAUAAAGGUUUCAUUUGAUGAUUCCAUUUGCC
rnacentral:lncRNA from 1 species